AACAUUACUGAAAAUGUCAUAAAAAUGAUGUGGCAUGCCAAACAGAACAAGAGAAUUAUUCACAUCAGUAACUACAGGUUUAGAGUUGACUCCCAAAGUCCAACUUUGCACAGAAAGGGGUG